UCCUCUUUUUAAAGAAUUAUAUAUGAAUCUCCAAAUUGUUCUCUCUCCAACUGGCUGCUCUUGUAAGGUGACAGCUGGCUCAGCCUUGUGCCAAUGCUAGAGGGAGGCAGAGAGACACUAGUGACAGAUUGGCUCCUGCUACCAGAGGGACCUAGAGAACACGAUCUUAAUUAUAAUCAAUGGCAAUCACCCCCAGGUGUGCCUGAGUCUAUUUAAGGAGAGCUCUCCACUCACUUAGUGCUCAGUCUUGAGUCAAUCUUGCUGUAUGCUGGUGUGUAAUACUUGGCUGGUAAUUUCAGGUAAUCUUGGUAUUUUCUCUGGAUUCUCUAGCCAACUCUUGAGCUUCCUUAGCUCUCAGUAUGUCUACAUUUAACAAGCGGUGCUGAAAGACAAAGGCCUCACCAAAGAGAUUUUGCACCAGUCGAUGUGGAAUUGAGCUCUGAACUUCUUGUCACAGCUGAUGACUGGCUCCAUCUCCUGACUGCAGCGCAGCUGGUUCUGAGGACUCUCCACCUCACGCAGGCAUGAUGAGAACGGCACGUCUGCUCCCACCAUCACAUACACGCUGCACAUAUUGAAAGAAAAAUUCUAAUUAAAAUAUAAUAUGAGGGGGAAGUUUAAAUGGUCAUUUCACAUAUGUAAUUUCUGUCUUAAAUUCCUAAUUCAAAUAUAAUGUAGACAUUUGCCAUUUGGAAUACUAGUUCUGAUAUUUCUUUUAUACAUAAAACUGCAUGCUUUAUGAGUAACUAUUUAAAUAAAAAAUUGCUUCCCAAACUGAUUUUCAUGUGAUCAGGCAUUAACGCAGUCAGUGUGAUAACCAUUGUCAUUUACCAUACACACAUUUGCUCUCUCUAACAAGAACAGUAAAAUUUCAUUAAUAAAGCCUCUUUAUGAAGACAACUAAAGUUAAAAGUAAAGAGGAAAACAGCACCUCCUCUCUUUGCCAUUAAUUUUAUAUUUACAUUUUAAGUUUAAUAACUUUGCUAGGUUCUGGGCAAAAUGGAUAUGAAAUUGACACCCUCCCUCCUUGCUUUCAGUUUUUUACUUAAGGUUUAAUGAAAAAAUUUAACCUUACAUUAUACUGCCUGUGAUGUUAUUCAGUAUGUAAAUUAAGCUUCAGUGUUUGUUUGAUCCUUUUGCUUAAUUUAAAUAUGCCAUGUGUUAGAUGUGCUAUAGAUAAUACUGUGAUUGGGAAGUGGUAGCUCAGUGGUUAAGAUGUUGGCCUGCUGAGCAGAAGGUUGUGAGUUCAAAUCCUAGCACUACCAAGCUGCCACUGCUGGGCCCUUGAGCAAGGCCCUUAACCCUCAACUGCUCAGUUGUAUAAAUGAGAUAAUUGUAAGUUGCUCUGGAUAAAGGUGUCUGCCAAAUGCUGUAAAUGUGAUUACAAUGGAUAUGCUACUGUAUAUUGUCAGUGAUUUUCACAAUAUUGUUGUACUAUUUCUUUCUUUCCUUCUAUAAUUUCUGAUCUGCUGA